UCCGGUGAAUACGUUCCCGGGCCUUGUACACACCGCCCGUCAAGCCAUGGAAGCUGGGUGUACCUAAAGUCGGUAACCGUAAGGAGCCGCCUAGGGUAAAACUAGUGACUGGGGCU
rnacentral:rRNA from 1 species